GACGAACGCUGGCGGCGUGCUUAACACAUGCAAGUCGAACGGUAAGGCCCUUCGGGGUACACGAGUGGCGAACGGGUGAGUAACACGUGGGUGAUCUGCCCUGCACUUCGGGAUAAGCCUGGGAAACUGGGUCUAAUACCGGAUAGGACCACUGCCUGCAUGGGUGGUGGUGGAAAGCUUUUGCGGUGUGGGAUGGGCCCGCGGCCUAUCAGCUUGUUGGUGGGGUGAUGGCCUACCAAGGCGACGACGGGUAGCCGGCCUGUGAGGGUGACCGGCCACACUGGGACUGAGAUACGGGCCAGAAUCCUACGGGAGGGAGCAGUGGGGAAUAUUGCCCAAUGGGCGCCAGCCUGAUGCAUCGACGCCGCGGGAGGGAUGACGGCCUUCGGGUUGUAAACCUCUUUCAGCACCGACGAAGCGCAAGUGACGGUAGGUGCAGAAGAAGGACCGGCCAACUACGUGCCAGCAGCCGCAGUAA
rnacentral:rRNA from 1 species